AUCGCUUCUCGGCCUUUUGGCUAAGAUCAAGUGAAGAAAUAGAUAUAUAAUAAAAUUUGCCAUUUUAAUUAUACAAUUCAGUGGCAUUAAUUACAUGCACAGCCCUAUGCAAAUAUUAUUAAUAUCCAUU
ensembl:snRNA U2 U2 spliceosomal RNA